rnacentral:rRNA from 1 species
ACAGGUGCUGCACGGCUGUCGUCAGCUCGUGUCGUGAGAUGUUGGGUUAAGUCCCGUAACGAGCGCAACCCUUGUCCUUAGUUACCAGCACGUUAUGGUGGGCACUCUAGGGAGACUGCCGGUGACAAACCGGAGGGAAGGUGGGGAUGACGUCAAGUCAUCAUGGCCCUUACGGCCUGGGCUACACACGUGCUACAAUGGUCGGUACAAAGGGUUGCCAAGCCGCGAGGUGGAGCUAAUCCCAUAAAACCGAUCGUAGUCCGGAUCGCAGUCUGCAACUCGACUGCGUGAAGUCGGAAUCGCUAGUAAUCGUGAAUCAGAAUGUCACGGUGAAUACGUUCCCGGGCCUU